GCCCUAAAGACCAUUUAUAGAGUUGAAUUUUAAAGAGGUUUUUCAGGAUUUAUUUAAAAUGCAUAGGGCUACUCGGAGAAAAUAGCAAAGAUGAACAAAUUUCUCAGAUAUUGGGGAAUAGAAUACCUUGCAUUGACAUGUUUAUCGACAAUAUGUAUUUUUAUUUGCAUGUGAUUUCAAACACAUUUUUAAUACUUUAAUGGUACCAAUUUCUUUUUGUGUGUAAAUCAAAUGUAAUAUUUGAGACUUUCUUCCAGUGAUGGAAUAUUGAUCCUUUGUUCUGAUCAGUAAUUAUAACAUAAUUUGCUUUAAUUUAGAAAACUCAAAACCUUAAUCUCUGUAUCUUCUGGAAUAUUUUUUUUUCCUGGAGGACAUAUAUAAUUGGGAGUAGUGAUAGAAUUAAAUUUGUUCAUAUUAAUCAAUUUCAGUGUUAUGAACCAUUAAAUAUAGUCUCUCUCUUUCAGCUAAAUUUAAUAGAUAUGUUAUCCUUAUAUUAUUGUAAUGGUAUUCUACAUACAGUUCUUGUAACUGAAGAAUCUUCUUUUGUUUCAUCCUGCUGCCUGUUUUGUUAUAUUUUAGUUUUGGUUAAAGCUGUUUACGACUGGCAUCAAAAUCCUUUUUCUGUCCUCACUGUGAAAAAGAAAGCAAAUGAAAACUCAAUAAGCCACAGUACUACUGAUUUUUCUGAAAGAGAAGAAGAGAAUUUCUGGAGGAAAAGUGUCCACUCUAUAAUGAGAUUUUUGGAGUCAAUGCCUCACUCUCUGGUCAGUCAAUGUACAGCACAGACCAUCUAGAAAGAAUUGGUAUCUGAUAAAGUGAACAAAGCUCUAUUGAGCUAACUGAUUCCUUUUUUUUCAAAGCAAACUUUGCCUUCCCCUCCCACAAUCCCUCCAUUUAACUUGUAUAAAUUUGUAAACCCAUCAACGCUAGUAAUUCUUUAUUACAGUUACUAUAUUGGUCACAGAACUAAUCGGAGGUACAACAGUAACAUUUGUGUUAAUUUGUGUUAAUUAUUUAGUGUUUAAAUUUUUGCAAAGACAGAAACACCAGAGUAAGUAUGUUCUUCUUGGGCAAGUCGGAGAGCCUUCCCCUGUCCCCUCUACCCCCGCCCCAAGCCCUGCCUUCCCAACUGAUACGAAUCACAGUGAUCCGCAGUGUCAAGUUCACACGCUUAGAGGUAAAACAUAUGAGGAAAGCAGGACCUCAUCAGUGGACUAAAGCUGGAAAUCCUGACCGCACAGAAAAGAUCAGGCCCUUCUCAGCAUGGAUCUGGCCCUUUUCAUUUUGCUUUCAUCAGCUGGGGCUGUUCAGCGGUGCAAGGAAAACAUUGUAAAAUGCUUUUAGAAGUGCUUCUGAACUCAUCAAAUAAUGGUAAGAGUUGCAAAUCUUACAGGAAGAGGCCAUCAGAGAAAAGCUUUUUUCAGCUCCACAGGGAACAGUGAACGCCAGUUAGUGAGAGCUGCUCUAAAAUAAAAUACUUAUAAGAAGGGGAUACUGAAGUAUG
rnacentral:lncRNA from 1 species